GUGUGUCUGUCUGUCUGUCUGUCUGUCAAUAGCUUAGUGUUGCGGCGGAGGUGAAACGGGGAGGGUGUGUCUGUCUGUCUGUCUGCCUGUCAAUAGCUUAGUGUUGCGGCGGAGGUGAAACAGGGAGGGUGUGUCUGUCUGUCUGUCUGUCAAUAGCUCAGUGCUGCGGCGGAAGUGAAACGGGGAGGGUGUGCCUGUCUGUUUGUCUGUGUGUAUCUGUCAAUAGCUCAGUUCUGCGGCGGAGGUGAAACAGGGAAGGUGUGUCUGUCUGUCUGUCUGUCAAUAGCUCAGUGCUGCGGCGGAAGUGAAACGGGGAGGGCAUGUCUGUCUGUCUGUCAAUAGCUCAGUGCUGCGGAGGUGAAACAGGGAGGGUGUGUGUGUGUGUGUCUGUCUGUCUGCCUGCCUGCCAGUGGCUUAGUGCAGCGGUGGAGGUGAAACAGGGUGGGUCUGUCUGUCUGUCUGUCUGUCUACCUGCCUGCCUGCCUGCCUGACUGCGUGAGAACCUUCUACACCUCAAUUCCAGGUGUACCAAGGAACAUUCGCCUCAUUACACAGCGGGAGUUGAGGUUCGCUCGCUGGCAAUGGCUCACUGCUGACGCGAAGGUGAGACGGGGGGUCGUGGCCAUCUAGGAUCACCGCCACCACCUGUGGGAACCCACGACACCUCCAGCCAGCCAGUCACAAGUGUAUGAAGGAAGAGUCACCUUGGAUCACUCCAGAAAAUGAAGAUACCGCAGAUUGUGUCGUGUUAAUUAUCUAUUAGUUUAUUUCAGGUAUCGUUGUCUACAGGAAGGAUGGUCCCGCUGACGGCGUGUGUUGAUUGACGCAGUAUUGCAGGCUGAGGUGGACGCGGUGAUGUUUGUGGUUGAGAAUGUUUUACUUGUGUUCCCC